CGAUAACGGCGUCGAGCGGCGGACGGGUGAGUAAUGCCUAGGAAAUUGCCCUGAUGUGGGGGAUAACCAUUGGAAACGAUGGCUAAUACCGCAUGAUGCCUACGGGCCAAAGAGGGGGACCUUCGGGCCUCUCGCGUCAGGAUAUGCCUAGGUGGGAUUAGCUAGUUGGUGAGGUAAGGGCUCACCAAGGCGACGAUCCCUAGCUGGUCUGAGAGGAUGAUCAGCCACACUGGAACUGAGACACGGUCCAGACUCCUACGGGAGGCAGCAGUGGGGAAUAUUGCACAAUGGGCGCAAGCCUGAUGCAGCCAUGCCGCGUGUGUGAAGAAGGCCUUCGGGUUGUAAAGCACUUUCAGUCGUGAGGAAGG
rnacentral:rRNA from 1 species